rnacentral:rRNA from 1 species
GAUGAACGCUGGCGGCGUGCCUAAUACAUGCAAGUCGAGCGAACAGACGAGGAGCUUGCUCCUCUGACGUUAGCGGCGGACGGGUGAGUAACACGUGGAUAACCUACCUAUAAGACUGGGAUAACUUCGGGAAACCGGAGCUAAUACCGGAUAAUAUAUUGAACCGCAUGGUUCAAUAGUGAAAGACGGUUUUGCUGUCACUUAUAGAUGGAUCCGCGCCGCAUUAGCUAGUUGGUAAGGUAACGGCUUACCAAGGCAACGAUGCGUAGCCGACCUGAGAGGGUGAUCGGCCACACUGGAACUGAGACACGGUCCAGACUCCUAUGGGAGGCAGCAGUAGGGAAUCUUCCGCAAUGGGCGAAAGCCUGACGGAGCAACGCCGCGUGAGUGAUGAAGGUCUUCGGAUCGUAAAACUCUGUUAUUAGGGAAGAACAAAUGUGUAAGUAACUAUGCACGUCUUGACGGUACCUAAUCAGAAAGCCACGGUUAACUACGU